rnacentral:rRNA from 1 species
UGAGUAAUAUAUCGGAACGUGCCCAGUCGUGGGGGAUAACGUAGAGAAAUUUACGCUAAUACCGCAUACGAUCUAAGGAUGAAAGCGGGGGAUCGCAAGACCUCGCGCGAUUGGAGCGGCUGAUAUCAGAUUAGGUUGUUGGUGAGGUAAAAGCUCACCAAGUCGACGAUCUGUAGCUGGUUUGAGAGAACGACCAGCCACACUGGGACUGAGACACGGCCCAGACUCCUACGGGAGGCAGCAGUGGGGAAUUUUGGACAAUGGGCGAAAGCCUGAUCCAGCAAUGCCGCGUGUGGGAAGAAGGCCUUCGGGUUGUAAACCACUUUUGUACGGAACGAAAAGGUCUGCCCUAAUACGGUGGGCCCAUGACGGUACCGUAAGAAUAAGCACCGGCUAACUACGUGCCAGCAGCCGCGGUAAUACGUAGGGUGCGAGCGUUAAUCGGAAUUACUGGGCGUAAAGCGUGCGCAGGCGGUUAUAUAAGACAGUUGUGAAAUCCCCGGGCUCAACCUGGGAAUUGCAUCUGUGACUGUAUAGCUAGAGUACGGUAGAGGGGGAUGGAAUUCCGCGUGUAGCAGUGAAAUGCGUAGAUAUGCGGAGGAACACCGAUGGCGAAGGCAAUCCCCUGGACCUGUACUGACGCUCAUGCACGAAAGCGUGGGGAGCAAACAGGAUUAGAUACCCUGAUAGUCCACGCCCUAAACGAUG